GACGAACGCUGGCGGCGUGCUUAACACAUGCAAGUCGAGCGGUAAGGCCCUUUCGGGGUACGACGAGCGGCGAACGGGUGAGUAACACGUGGGUGACCUCGCCCUCCAGCUCUGGGAGUAAGCCUCGGGAAACGUAGGGUCGUAAUACUGGAUAUGACUCCACGGUGCAUGUCGUGGGGUGGAGAGCCUUGUGCGGCUGAGGAU
rnacentral:rRNA from 1 species